rnacentral:rRNA from 1 species
AACGAACGCUGGCGGCAUGCCUAACACAUGCAAGUCGAACGAGACCUUCGGGUCUAGUGGCGCACGGGUGCGUAACGCGUGGGAACCUGCCCUUAGGUUCGGAAUAACACCCCGAAGGGGGUGCUAAUACCGGAAAACGUCUUCGGACCAAAGAUUUAUCUCGUUUGGAUGGGCCCGCGUUGUAUUAGCCAGUUGGUAGGGUAAAAGCCUACCAAGGCGACGAUCCAUAGCUGGUCUGAGAGGAUGAUCCGCCACACUGGGACUGAGACACGGCCCAGACUCUUACGGGAGGCAGCAGUGGGGAAUAUUGGACAAUGGGCGAAAGCCUGAUCCAGCUAUGCCGCGUGAGUGAUGAAGGCCUUAGGGUUGUAAAGCUCUUUUACCCGGGAUGAUAAUGACAGUACCGGGAGAAUAAGCUCCGGCUAACUCCGUG